GAGUUUGAUCCUGGCUCAGGAUGAACGCUAGCGACAGGCUUAACACAUGCAAGUCGAGGGGCAGCACGAUGUAGCAAUACAUUGGUGGCGACCGGCGCACGGGUGAGUAACGCGUAUGCAACCUACCUAUCAGAGGGGAAUAACCCGGCGAAAGUCGGACUAAUACCGCAUAAAACAGGGGUUCCACAUGGAAAUAUUUGUUAAAGAAUUAUCGCUGAUAGAUGGGCAUGCGUUCCAUUAGAUAGUUGGUGAGGUAACGGCUCACCAAGUCCACGAUGGAUAGGGGUUCUGAGAGGAAGGUCCCCCACACUGGUACUGAGACACGGACCAGACUCCUACGGGAGGCAGCAGUGAGGAAUAUUGGUCAAUGGGCGAGAGCCUGAACCAGCCAAGUCGCGUGAAGGAUGAAGGAUCUAUGGUUUGUAAACUUCUUUUAUAUGGGAAUAAAGUGAGGAACGUGUUCCUUUUUGUAUGUACCAUAUGAAUAAGCAUCGGCUAACUCCGUGCCAGCAGCCGCGGUAAUACGGAGGAUGCGAGCGUUAUCCGGAUUUAUUGGGUUUAAAGGGUGCGUAGGUGGUUAAUUAAGUCAGCGGUGAAAGUUUGUGGCUCAACCAUAAAAUUGCCGUUGAAACUGGUUGACUUGAGUAUAUUUGAGGUANGCGGAAUGCGUGGUG
rnacentral:rRNA from 1 species